CUGGCUGUCAGUAGAUGAUCCUUAUCUAUUGUCGUCCGCUAGACCCUAUGCCAAGUGAGGUCACUCUGAGGGUCCGGCGGACGUGAGUCUGGGGGCCCUACUCAGCCCCCAGCGGAGCGUCAGACACUCGCUAGUGCGGGGCGGUGUCCCAAGGCCAGAGCCGCCGCCUCGCCGCCGCCGGCCCAGCCUGUCCACUGGGCCCCCACGGAGGUCGGCUCUGAGCUCGGCAGCGUCCGGAGGGGGACCGGGAGCUGGCCCCACCCUGCCCUUGAGGAGCCUAGCCUUGGGAGCCUGGGAAACGCGAGUGGUCCCAAGGUUAAUUAAUUAUUACAUUUGAAAUGCGCCCAUUAAGGGUCCCACAAACAGGAAAGUAUUAAUCACCCAUUUCCUCAGAGUGACAAGUGCAUUUCCCUAAAUUCCUCUGCUGCUGACUUAACUGAAUGAUAAUCUCCCUGCGGCUGCAUUUCCCGGGAAGUCACGGCUCAUGAAUAUUCUGGCAUCGCAAUUUGCUUUUUAAAAGGACAGACUUAUUAAUUCAUUUUUAAGUUUGCUGUCAUGAAUAGUAAUUCUCAGGCCUUCACAUAAUGAAAUGGCAGUGGCCUAGUCAGCCAGACAGUUCCCGGUCCUGUCGGGGGUGGAGUGAGGGGUGCCAGGCCUUCCUGCCCCUGGCUCCAGACACACAGUCGCCCGGGCAACGUCAAGUCGCCACAACACAAGAGUGUCACCGCUGGUGAGCCAGGUGGACGGUGGGACGCCGAGCCACGGAGUCAGACAGGAGGCUGUGUGAUCUUGGGCAAGGCCUGGAGGGACACGACACGCCGGCCUGAAGUUCAGAUCUUCUGUUCCCGAGCAGACAGAGGAACCGCACCGACCAGCGGCUUCCCCGGGAGCAUCUGCCCGGGGUGAUUUCUGUCACUUGAUGCAAUUACGACAGACUCCCAAGUGCCCAGUCAACAGCAGCGAUUCGCUACCUACACAUUUAAGUAGAAAUCAGAGGUGGUGCCAUCGCAUCAACGGGGCCCGUCACCGUGACCCCCCACAGACUGGACGACACCUCCAGUCCCGCUGCGCUCCCAGACCUCUCACCACCCUGGGCCAUCUCUCUGCACCUGCCCAGCCAGCGCUUCCCACCCUGGACCCUAAGACUCAAGUCAGGCCCCUCGGCGGCAAAGCCCACCCUGGCAGCCCCCACCAGGCUUGAGUCUGGGGACCUCUCAGGACCUACGGGAUCCGAGGUCUGGUCUCCGUGUGUCCCUCCCUCCUCGACCCCAGGCCAAUACAGGGCCCGUAGCCAAGCCUC